rnacentral:rRNA from 1 species
GAUGAACGCUGGCGGCGUGCCUAAUACAUGCAAGUAGAACGCUGAAGGAGGAGCUUGCUCUUCUGGAUGAGUUGCGAACGGGUGAGUAACGCGUAGGUAACCUGCCUGGUAGCGGGGGAUAACUAUUGGAAACGAUAGCUAAUACCGCAUGACAACAGUUAUUGCAUGAUAACUGUUUAAAAGGGGCAACUGCUCCACUACCAGAUGGACCUGCGUUGUAUUAGCUAGUUGGUGAGGUAACGGCGCACCAAGGCGACGAUACAUAGCCGACCUGAGAGGGGGCGCGGCCACACUGGGACUGCGACACGGCCCAGACUCCUACGGGAGGCAGCAGGAGGGAAUCUUCGGCAAUUGACGGAAGUCUGACCGAGCAACGCCGCGGGAGGGAAGAAGGUUUUCGGAUCGUAAAGCUCGGUUGUAAGAGAAGAACGAGUGUGAGAGUGGAAAGUUCACACUGUGACGGUAUCUUACCAGAAAGGGACGGCUAACUACGUG